rnacentral:rRNA from 1 species
UACGUAGGGACCGAGCGUUGUCCGGAAUCAUUGGGCGUAAAGAGCGUGUAGGCGGCCACUUAAGUCCUGCGUGAAAUCCCGAGGCUCAACCUCGGGCCUGCAGUGGGUACGGGCAGGCUAGAGGCAGGUAGGGGAGAACGGAAUUCCCGGUGUAGCGGUGAAAAUGCGCAGAUAUCGGGAGGAACACCAAUGGCGAAGGCAGCUUGCUGGGACGGUACUGACGCUGAGACGCGAAAGCGUGGGGAGCAACAGG